rnacentral:rRNA from 1 species
AGAGUUUGAUCAUGGCUCAGAUUGAACGCUGGCGGCAGGCCUAACACAUGCAAGUCGAGCGGCAGCGGCUUAACUGAACCUUCGGGGAACGUUAAGGGCGGCGAGCGGCGGACGGGUGAGUAAUGCCUGGGAAUAUGCCCUGAUGUGGGGGAUAACUAUUGGAAACGAUAGCUAAUACCGCAUAAUCUCUUCGGAGCAAAGAGGGGGACCUUCGGGCCUCUCGCGUCAGGAUUAGCCCAGGUGGGAUUAGCUUGUUGGUGAGGUAAUGGCUCACCAAGGCAACGAUCCCUAGCUGGUCUGAGAGGAUGAUCAGCCACACUGGAACUGAGACACGGUCCAGACUCCUACGGGAGGCAGCAGUGGGGAAUAUUGCACAAUGGGGGAAACCCUGAUGCAGCCAUGCCGCGUGUGUGAAGAAGGCCUUCGGGUUGUAAAGCACUUUCAGUAGGGAGGAAGGUAGUGUAGUUAACACCUGCAUUAUUUGACGUUACCUACAGAAGAAGCACCGGCUAACUCCGUGCCAGCAGCCGCGGUAAUACGGAGGGUGCGAGCGUUAAUCGGAAUUACUGGGCGUAAAGCGCAUGCAGGCGGCCUGUUAAGUCAGAUGUGAAAGCCCAGGGCUUAACCUCGGAAUUGCAUUUGAAACUGGCAGGCUAGAGUCUUGUAGAGGGGGGUAGAAUUUCAGGUGU